rnacentral:rRNA from 1 species
AUAGUGCAAUGCAGGAUAUAGAUGAAAGCAACCGAAGGAGACAAGU